UACGAAGGGGGCUAGCGUUGCUCGGAAUCACUGGGCGUAAAGGGUGCGUAGGCGGGUUUUUAAGUCAGGGGUGAAAUCCUGGAGCUCAACUCCAGAACUGCCUUUGAUACUGAAAAUCUUGAGUCCGGGAGAGGUGAGUGGAACUGCGAGUGUAGAGGUGAAAUUCGUAGAUAUUCGCAAGAACACCAGUCGCGAAGGCGGCUCACUGGCCCGGUACUGACGCUGAGGCACGAAAGCGUGGGGAGCAAACAGG
rnacentral:rRNA from 1 species